CCGGCGGCUCCCGCCGAAUUCCUGCGCGGGAAUCUGAGCCCCCUCAGGCAGCAGAGCCCGGCUUAAGGAGCAGAGCCCGGCUUAAGGAGACAAAGCCCUCGAGGGGCAAAGCCCCGUUCGGAGAGCAAAGCCCUUCGAAAGAAGCAAAGCCGAGCUCGGGAAGCAAAGUCGAGCUCAGUGAGCCAAGCCCUGUUUAGUCAGGAGUCCAGCCCUGCUUAGGGAGCUCCCAGCACUGCUCUCCUGAUCCCCUUUCCUUGGCAUUCUCGUCCUCCUCCCGGCUGGCACCGCACUGUUGGGGCUCAUCCUGCGCUCCCAGCACAGCCCCGGGUGCUCUGCUCCCCAUGAGGGGUUUCUGCAUUUACCCUGUUCGCCAUCACCUGCUGCUGUUACUGCACCGUGGCUGGGCUUAUGUUUAUAUCAAGCGUCAAAUACCGCUUCAUAACACUACUUCUUAAGUGGAGCACCUCCAAUUUUGACUUUGUGUCACGACCAUAAACCUUUGCCUGGCAGAAGAACAUCUCACCUCAGGGCCGAGGCGCCUGCAGCCUGCGCGUCCCUGUGCCCGCUUCUCCCGGCCUCAUUUUGCACCAUAUAAGGGCUGGAUCCAGCUGGAUCCUUUCAUUGACUGCCUGGAACUCAGCGAGGAGGCAGUGAAGCAUCACACCCUGUAUUAUCUACCAAAUUAGACAAAAAAGACAAGGAGUGACUCAUUUCAGCCUUUCUCAUCUCCCCAGGCAUUCUUCUCUCCCUCUCUGACACACACACAUUUCUAUUUCACCCACUGCUGCAGCACUGGGAGUUUUGCAGAGAUUUGCUGCUUCACAUAAGGCAGCACAGCUCCCACCUUGCUCCCAACCAAAGCUCUCGUGUGGAAAGGACUGGAAUUUGGCACAAGCCCCACAGAGCUGGGAUCAGGGCACAGAUGUACCACACUGACCUGCUCUGGGCACCGCAGCUCCUUCACUGCUCUGUGUCACCAUUCCGAAAGCCUUCCCACAGAACUGCACCUCCCUGCCCUCAGAAAGGCCAAAUUUUGGCUGCCGCUUUGCUCUCUGCUGAGCAUGUUUUCUUCUAAUCUCAAUAAAGCCUCCAGGAUUUGAGCCUAACCAACACAGAUAAAUCGUUGGCUUUGGCCUAAAAGUCAGCCAAUUUAGCCUUGGCAGAUUUGCUCCCUCAGAGGUCACUGAGAAGCCGAGAUUUACUAAAGGCACUUGAGUUUUCUUGGCUUUGUGGUCGAAGUCAAGUCCCUCGGUGACACUCUAACACCUGCUGUUCUUUUAUGAGGGAAACCACUAUGCUUCUGGGAAGAGCUACCUUCCUGUGGUUUAUUGGAGGCUUUUUCUCCCUCUGAUGUCACUGCUGUCCUAAAAACCCCGAGUGACACUGACGUCCACGCAGAGCGGCGCCGCUGCACCGGCCAGAGCCGGACUAAACGAGCUCCCAGGGGUCCACUGUGGGUGUCCAGCCAAAUGUCCAACUCUCAGCCCCUUGUCAUCUCUUACUGACAAUUUGACUGCUUUCUUGCUGUAUUCAUAAUUUUUUAUUAUUUUGUCAUUAAAAACAGUAGAAUUUGAAUCUCUGCUUUUAUGAAAAAUCUCUGGUUUCUUGAAAAAAACACCUCAAGUAAAUCUGUCUAGAUGUGGGACAGCUUUCAAGGCUGGGGGAUCAACCUCUCCAUUGGCUGUAUACAUAUGGUGGAUCUGCAAUUGAGCAAGGAAUUUGUGGGCUAGGGCAGGGAAUGCUUAAAGGGGCAAAGUUUGGGCAAGUAAUUUCUGAGACAGAUCUUCAAGUUUUGCAACUGGCUUCCAGCACUCCGUGGACCAUCGAGAAUUGCCUGAUUGGUGCAAAUAUGUAGACACAUUAAUUCAUUUGCACCUGCAGAAAAAGAAACUUGACAUAGUCAACCAUUGGUGGGCAAAUGAAAAACUGCUAAAGGCUUUUGCUGCCACAGUUAUUUCUCCUUCUCUGUGGGAAGAAACAUGUUGGAGACCUUGAUAGAAGGGAAAGUGAAGACCUUCAGCAGUUCCAAGGUGGAGGUGUGGAGCAUCCCUCCUUCUAAGUUCAGUGUGAUCAGCUGAAAACAAACCAUACCAAAAAAAUGAAGGGAUUGAUUUCCAUCUGUCAGGUCCUCACCUGCCCGGCUGCCCAAACCCUCGGAAGGGAGAGGCCAUGGGACACACAGAGGCCCUGCAUGUGAGCUUGAGGAUGGGAAGUUCUCCCUCGCUGACCCGUGGCACACAAUGAAGAGCAAAGGAAAACACUGACUGCAGCAACUUUGCCUAUGGAGGGACCACAGAGCAGAGCUGCCCCCCAGCCCCCCUUUCCCCGCUUGGGCCACGCACAAAUUACUUUGUCAUUGUGGAGAAACAAAUAAGGCUUCGUUCUCAUUACCAUCCUGAUGGGAGUAAACAAGUUUAUUU